rnacentral:ncRNA from 2 species
CGAGACCACUCUGGAAAGCAGGGGCGUGCCCCUCGCCGAAGGUGCAAACCGCGUCACGGCGCGGUGAAGCUCUCAGGCCCCGAUGACAGAGGGGGAGGA